AAUUUCAACCCUUGUUCAUUCGUUAAUUAUUGACACAUCCGAUUAUUAAACUCCCUGAAGAAAUUAGCUACUAAUGGUUGAAAUACAACAAUUCCUAAACUCAUAUUUAACAUGCAAAAAAAAUAAAAAAUAAAAUUAAGGAGUAUAAAAAUAAAAAUGUUUUCGAUUAUCGAUUGAAACUCGAAAGCGAAAUCUCCUUUAAAAGUUGCAAAGAUCUCCUCGAUUCCAAUUGAAAUCAACACCAAAA
rnacentral:lncRNA from 1 species